CUGGAAUGCAGUAGUAUGAUCACAGCUCACUGCAGCCUUGACUUCCUGGGCUCAAGCAAUCCUCCCACCUCAGACUCUUGAGUAGCUGUGUCUACUGGCAUGUGCCACCGGACCAGUAUCUUUUCUCUCCAGCCAUGCCAGCUUGAAACUGACCAUGCAGAAGGAUCACCUAGGUCAAGCUGGGAAUCCAGACCCGGAAUCAAACAGUUCUUACCCUUUGGCCAGUGUAUUAGUCUGUUUUCACGCUGCUGAUAAAGACAUACCUGAGACUGGGCAAUUUACAAAAGAAAGAGGUUUAUUGGACUUACAGUUCUGUGUGGUGGGGAGGCUCACAAUGACGGCAGAAGGUGAAAGGCACGGAGGAGCAAGUCAGGUCUUACAUGGAUGGCGGCAGGCAAAGAGAGAACUUGUGCAGGGAAACUUCCCUUUUUUUUUUUUUUAAUUUUUUUUUGAGAUGGACUUUUGCUCUGUUGCCCAGGCUGGAGUACAGUGGUGCAAUGUCUGC
rnacentral:lncRNA from 10 species